GCGCUCCUCUCUAGACGAAUUUCGUGGGGCCCAUCCCCCUUACUGACUACACUACCCAGAAUGCACGUUGUCCUCGCGGCCUUCGGGGCAGCCAUGGAGGACUUGGGCGGAAGUAAGUACACAUCCCCCUUCGACCUAGACCGAGAAUUUACUGAAAUCGUAAGUUGAUGACGUCCUUCUAUGUGUAAGUGAAUUCAACUUGUGGCAAAAAGGUUUAUUUUUCCCGGAACUCCAGUGGAAGUUAUAGGCUUCUCUUCCCAGAGUAAAGAUGUCCGCCGAGCGCCUGAUUUCUGGGUAAAGGAGCGUCCAAAAGAAGUGCGCAAAGAUGUUUGCGUCCUGCCUGUGGAUGGCGCUCUUUCGGGGGCGGGCCGAACUGAUCCAUCCGUGAAUGGUGGAGCACUAGUGUCCGCCCCCAAUAGAGCCCAAUCAAAAAGGAGGAACGCUGAACACUAAGUAGCUAUUGGUUGGCCUCUGGGCCAAUCGGAAGAGCCAUGAUUUGGCGGGAGCCUUGACCGCCGCGGGGGCUUAGUGUGACUGGGUAAGCGAGCUCCGGGCGUCCCGUCACCGUGGCCAUGUUCGUGUCCGAUUUCCGCAGGGAGUUCUACGAGGAGGUGCAGAGCCAGAGGGUCCUUCUCUUCGUGGCCUCGGACGUGGACGCCCUGUGCGCUUGCAAGGUCCUUCAGGCCCUGUUCCAGUGUGACCACGUGCAGUACACUCUGGUUCCAGUUUCUGGGUGGCAAGAACUCGAAACUGCAUUUCUUGAGCAUAAAGAACAGUUCCAUUAUUUCAUCCUCAUAAACUGUGGAGCCAACAUAGACCUACUGGAUAUCCUUCAGCCUGAUGAAGAUGCCAUAUUUUUUGUGUGUGACACGCACAGGCCAGUCAAUAUUGUAAAUGUGUACAACGAUACCCAGAUCAAACUACUCAUUAAACAAGAUGAUGACCUCGAAGUUCCUGCCUAUGAUGACAUCUUUAGGGAUGAAGAAGAGGAGGAAGAGCAUCCGGGAAAUGAAAGUGACCACGGGUCAGAGCCUUCCGAGAAGCGCACACGAUUAGAAGAGGAGAUAGCAGAGCAAACCAUGAAGAGGAGGGAGCGGAGAGAGUGGGAGGCCCGGAGAAGAGACAUCCUCUUUGACUAUGAGCAGUAUGAAUACCAUGGGACGUCGUCAGCCAUGGUGAUGUUCGACCUGGCGUGGAUGAUGUCCAAGGACCUAAAUGACAUGCUGUGGUGGGCCGUCGUCGGACUAACAGACCAGUGGGUGCAAGACAAGAUCACCCAGAUGAAGUAUGUGACUGACGUGGGAGUCCUGCAGCGCCACGUGUCCCGGCACAACCACCGGAACGAGGACGAGGAGAACGCCCUGUCCGUGGACUGCACACGGAUCUCCUUCGAGUAUGACCUCCGCCUGGCGCUCUACCAGCACUGGUCCCUCCACGACAGCCUGUGCAACACAUGCUACACUGCUGCCAGGUUCAAGCUCUGGUCUGUGCAGGGGCAGAAGCGGCUCCAGGAGUUCCUGGCAGAUGUGGGUCUCCCCCUGAAACAGGUGAAGCAGAAGUUUCAGUCCAUGGACAUCUCCUUGAAGGAGAAUCUGCAGGAGAUGAUCGAAGAGUCUGCAAAUAAGUUUGGGAUGAAGGACAUGCGUGUGCAGACUUUCAGCAUUCAUUUCGGGUUCAAGCAUAAGUUCCUGGCCAGUGACGUGGUCUUCGCCACCAUGUCGCUGAUGGAGAGCCCCGAGAAGGAUGGCUCAGGGACGGAUAACUUCAUCCAGGCUCUGGACAGUCUCUCCAGGAGUAACCUGGACAAGCUCUACCGUGGCUUAGAACUUGCCAAGCAGCGGCUGCGAGCCAUACAGCAGACCGUCGCCAGCUGCCUCUGCACCAACCUCGUCGUCUCCCAGGGGCCCUUCCUCUACUGCGCCCUCGUGGAGGGGACUCCAGACAUCAUGCUGUUCUCCAAGCCAGCGUCCCUGAACCUGCUCAGCAGACACCUGCUCAAGUCCUUUGUGUGCUCGACCAAGAACCGGCGCUGCAAGCUGCUGCCCUUGGUGAUGGCUGCACCCCUGAGUACGGAGCAGGGCACGGUGACCGUGGUGGGCAUCCCCCCAGAGACUGACAGCUCAGACAGAAAGAACUUCUUUGGGCAGGCAUUUGAGAAGGCAGCAGAGGGCACCAACUCCCGGACCCUGCACAACCGUUUUGACUUCUCAGUAAUUGAACUGAAAGCAGAGGAUCGCAGCAAGUUUCUGGAUGCGCUUGUGUCCCUCCUGUCCUGAGGAAAGUGCCAGCAUUUGCCCCCUCCUGACCACGUUUACCCUGGUCUGGAGCCACUGCUAUGGCAGAUGGGCCCUGCCAACGCUCUGACAUAGAGGUCUCCUCAUGCCAGUCCAGGGUCCCCAUCUGUGAAUCUGAUUUCUUCAGAAAUACCCUCUUCCUUAUUUAUAUUAGUUGGCUUUUAUUUGGACUGUAAGUUAUGAACAUUGUUUUAGAUGCACGACAGUCAGUUUUUAAUGAAAUAAAAUCCUUAUUUUAGG